rnacentral:rRNA from 1 species
CAAUCAAACCGGGAGAUAGCUGGUUCUCCCCGAAAGCUAUUUAGGUAGCGCCUCGUGAAUUCAUCUCCGGGGGUAGAGCACUGUUUCGGCAAGGGGGUCAUCCCGACUUACCAACCCGAUGCAAACUGCGAAUACCGGAGAAUGUUAUCACGGGAGACACACGGCGGGUGCUAACGUCCGUCGUGAAGAGGGAAACAACCCAGACCGCCAGCUAAGGUCCCAAAGUCAUGGUUAAGUGGGAAACGAUGUGGGAAGGCCCAGACAGCCAGGAUGUUGGCUUAGAAGCAGCCAUCAUUUAAAGAAAGCGUAAUAGCUCACUGGUCGAGUCGGCCUGCGCGGAAGAUGUAACGGGGCUAAACCAUGCAC